rnacentral:rRNA from 1 species
GACGAACGCUGGCGGCGUGCUUAACACAUGCAAGUCGAACGGAAAGGCCCUGCUUUUGUGGGGUGCUCGAGUGGCGAACGGGUGAGUAACACGUGAGUAACCUGCCCUUGACUUUGGGAUAACUUCAGGAAACUGGGGCUAACACCGGAUAGGAGCUCCUGCUGCAUGGUGGGGGUUGGAAAGUUUCGGCGGUUGGGGAUGGACUCGCGGCUUAUCAGCUUGUUGGUGGGGUAGUGGCUUACCAAGGCUUUGACGGGUAGCCGGCCUGAGAGGGUGACCGGCCACAUUGGGACUGAGAUACGGCCCAGACUCCUACGGGAGGCAGAAGUGGGGAAUAUUGCACAAUGGGCGGAAGCCUGAUGCAGCAACGCCGCGUGCGGGAUGACGGCCUUCGGGUUGUAAACCGCUUUCGCCUGUGACGAAGCGUGAGUGACGGUAAUGGGUAAAGAAGCACCGGCUAACUACGUG